GUUAAACUCUUGGACAAGCCCUCAGGAGGAAGAUGGUGACCUCUCAGGAAUGCCACCUGGCCCAUGGAUCAGACUGUGGGUGAGGAGCCACCCUUCCUUCUGGGAUCCAGUCAAGGACUAAUACGGCAAUUAUUACCAUAUGGGAAGUCGGUGAAAUCUGUUGAUGAUAAAAAGGAGCUUUGGAACUUGUGAGCAGGGAUGCCGAGCCAAGGAAGCAGAUUUAGAACAAGUUGUACAUCGACCAGCAAAACUCUUCAGAAUUCCAAGCGGUCCAUUCAGCCGUCGAUCGUGCCUUCAGAGGAUGGUCUGCAGGAAGGCGGAAGACGGUAAAUAGGGAACGAGCACACGUGGGUGGACGGGGCCAACACGCUGAUCCACUUCAGCUCAAUCAGACUUUGUCACCAGGUUCUGUGGGGCUACGGACAGGGAAAGGAGAGGCGCGGGAAGCAGCCACAACGUAAAAAGAAAAAGAGAAGGAGAAAGGCAGAUUGUUUUGGCGGGUGGGAGAAGGGAGAAAGGGCUGAAUCACCGGCCUUGACUAGAGACUGAGGAGACCCCAAGGAAAGGCACAGGAAAUGCUAAGAAAGGGCCCAAUUUGGUCUGCAGGAAGAGCCAAGCCGGUCCAGAACCCUUCACUUCGGCUCUGUGUAGAGGUUCUCAGGUGACUUUGGGGGAUGUUUGGAUGCCCUCAAAUUGCAGUACAUGAAGCGAAGAGGGUUGGAGAGGGAGGAUCCAUGGACAGAGAACUACUGGGGAGAGUAUUUGCCCCUCAGCAGCAAGAGAGAGCCUCACGAUCACUGUUCAAAUUCUGGCUUUGGGCCAGGCACUGGCAUUCUCUGAGACUCAGUUCCUUCAUCUGCAAAAUGAAAAGAUGGGACAAGAUUGGCUUGGGAGUGUCGCUUAGUUCUAAAUCCGUAUCCCCUAAUCCUAAGAAUAUAUGUUAUGGCAGAUGCAUUACAUUAGACCAUCCAUCUAGAUAGAGCUCAUCUGACAAAGUCACACCAAAGAAAUUAGUUAGAAACUCUUUUCAGAGAAUCAAUUAGUCU